UACGAAGGGGGCUAGCGUUGCUCGGAAUCACUGGGCGUAAAGAGCUCGUAGGCGGCUUGUCGCGUCGUCCGUGAAAACUUGUGGCUUAACCACAGGCUGGCGGUCGAUACGGGCAGGCUGGAGUUCGGUAGGGGAGACUGGAAUUCCUGGUGUAGCGGUGAAAUGCGUAGAUAUCUGGAGGAAUACCGGUGGCGAAGGCGGCAUCCUGGACCGAGAUUGACGCUGAUGAGCGAAAGCUAGGGGAGCAAACGGG
rnacentral:rRNA from 1 species